AUGUUGAAACUGAUGUUUGCACAGGGUUCCCUCCGUGCUGCAGGAUGGCCACCGGCAGGCAAAGGUGCAGUGGGACUCCAAAAGCCAGCAGUGUGGGCUGGCCAGAAGGCAGCAGCAGCAGAAUCAUCACGCCACCUUAACCAAAGCACCACUGGGAUUUGCACGGGUUCUUUUCUCAUGCUUGGCACUGUGCAUAGAUGGGCAAUGCUGGCGCCUGUCCUCCCAACCCACUGCAGCCCCUCAGCUCUGGCAGAAGCUACCCCCUGCACUCAGAUGCCUUCUGCAGCACGUUCAGCCCCAGGACCUGCUGAUAUGGACAGGAGAUGUGAAGCUUUCUGCAUUUUUACCAAAGGAGCAAAAAUGGGGAUUCCCUCCCCUCCCCUCUUCCCGUCCUCUUGGGGAUGGCUGGGCAGUAUCUUCUCCCUCUCCCGCAGGCCCCCAGGAAGCACCUGGCUUGCAGCCGACUCAGUUUCCAAAAUUUUAAUUCUCACAACCCCUCCCCCUCAGCAAAAAUAACCAAUCGAGGCUUGCUAAGCCCACUUCCUCCAUUCCGUUCCCUUUAUAGAUUUAUCAAGUACAUGAUGUAUUUAUGUAUAAAAUACAUUAUUAAAGAUAUUAACUAUAUACAUAGAUACACACAUUUUUGUCAUUUCACAUAAUCCUCGCAGUCACUUUUGAGAGGCCUAUGUUACAGCCGAGGUUACUGAAAUGCAGAGAGGAGUCAGUUUCCCACGGUGCCCCUGUGUGCAGGGAGUAAAGCCUCGGUUGCAGCAGCAGCUGACCACAGGUUGAGCCACCAACACCCCUGUGCCUUCCUUCACUGGGGAUUGUCCCCUGCUUGCCACUGGAGGUAGGAAGAGGCAGACAAAGCCAGGGAUGUUUCCUGGAAGAGAAAAGCAGGGUCCUGUGGAGCAGUGGGGGCUUCUACCAGAUCACGCGGUGGUGCAGAGGUGCUUUGGGGACCAGGGCUGCUCAGUCAGAAGCCAGCAGGAGUCCCUGUCUUGUGUGCCCUGAACCCGUCAACUCUGAUCUGCACAUCACCACCCUGUGACCUGCGGCCAGCCCACCGUGCGACAGCUCCGCACGACCUGCAGCCAGCCCACCGUGCAACAACCCCGCAGGACCUGUGGCCAGCCUACAGUGCGACAGCCCCGCACGACCCUUGUCCUGUUGCUGGAAGUAGCCCCAUAUUUGAUUGCAUUUGUAGAUGAAGAAACUGAGUCAUAGAGUAUUGGCUGCUUGUUUCCUGGUGCAUUGCAGAGCCGCAGGUUCAGGGGAUCUGGGAGUCCCUCUUCGUCCACCUCUCCCUGCUACCCACUGCCCCAGCAAGUCCCCAUAACUUUGCCAAUCUCAGUGGUCAUCCUGUGUUUUUACCAGAGACCAUCUGGGCACUUGUUCAAACAAGCAGAGACGUUUAGGGAACCCACACUCCCAUUCCCGCGAACACGGCAGCACUCCUUCCCGUGAAUGGAACCUUUUAUUUUUGAUGUCCAUAAAUUGCAGGGGUCGGAAUGGAGCUGAUGUGUGACCAUGUGGUUUGGGCGUUUUGCACUCUGCAUGGUUUGGAAGCAAUGAGCUCAGGCCCUGAGUGCCAAAUUGUGAGCAAAUUAACCAUCCCUGCCCACCUUGGAGGGUGAAUUAGCUCACUUAAGUCUUAGAAUUCUGAGUCCCAGGAAGCACGUACUACUGUUUCCCUUUCCCAGAUAAGAAAGGUGUGGCUCAGAAGGGCUUUGUGACUCCCUGCAGUCUCACAGCAGAGCCAGUCAUAGCACCAAGCCCCUCCCUGCAGGGCGGAGAAGAUUGUCCUCCGGAGAAACACCAAGUGCUCAUGUCUUGACCACAAGCCGGGCCUCAGGGGUAACGAAGCCACCGCAGCUUGUCAGAACAGAGAGACCAUUUAAUGGUCGAAGAGUGCCGUGCUGGAGCCAGGCACACCAGGGUUUGCACCAUGUCCUGGCCGUGUGGCCUCUAAGUGCUUGCCCUCUCUGUGCCUGGUUUCUUCACUGUAAGCCUUUCACAGAUUAUUAUUUAUUUAAGCCUCACAGCAAUGCUGUGGGAGCCCUGCUCUUACCAUUGUCCCCACUGUACCGAUGGGGAAACUGAGGUGAGCAGAAGAGAGACACCUGUGCAGGCUCACGAAGUUGAGAAGAGGUGGAGCCAGGACUUGAACCCAGGCCCUGUGACUCCAGUGCUCUGACCCACUACCUCCCUUAUCUGCUCCUCGUAGAACCACGGGGUCCUUCAGGGUGCAGGAAGAUGUCUCCUGUGGCCACCGGAGCACAGCUGUCUCACUCAGGAAUGGGGUUGGAAGUCACUUUUACUUUCUUCAUUUCACUUUAAUAAAGUUUUUUAUUAUUAUUAUUUGGAAUAAGCCACAUCAUUUGUGUAAUUAGCAAAAGACUACAUUAACUGACCCCCUGACCAAAUAAAAUAAAAUAAAAUAAAAAGCCAGCUACCCCUUGACAAAGAACAAAGGGCCUGAAAUAGGGCAAUCAGGUUCAUUCCUCGCAUCCGCGCCUGCCCAGCCUGGUGAGAUCAAUUUUCCUGAUGGGACUGAUUUUUUAGGGCCCAACAGCAUCUGCGCGAAGUGGACAGCAGGUGGCGCUGCCUCCUCGUAGAGAAACAGCCCAACGCGAAAUCCCUGGUGCGGGUCAGAGGCUGCCCUGCAAGAAAGACCCUGCUGCCCUGCGUCCUCUUUCGUUUCCCAAGACGUUUCCUGACCCUGAGCUCUCUCCCUGGGGCGGGCAUCGCGACGAAGGCCCCUGGGAAGUGAGGCAGGACCUCCUGUCCCCCCUGUCCCCAUGGCCCACAUUUGC
rnacentral:lncRNA from 10 species